GACGUGCCAAGGGAGCGACACUCAUUUUGUCUGUCUCUUUAUUGUUUCACAGUGUGUGAAUGGGUCUGCGUUUGUGCCCUGUGAUGGGUUGGCACCUCGUCCAGGCUGUCCCCAGCCUUUUGCCUCGAGCUCGCUGGGAUAUGCUCCUGGCUCUCCUGUGACUCUGUGGAGGAUUAGUGGAAUGAAAAAUUAAUGAAUGCGGGAAUGAAUCUGUACUACGUCCUGCGUCAUCCUUUCAAACGCUUGAGGAUUGUUGGUCUGCUUCUGGACAGCUGUUGCUGUGGCCCGGCAGGACUUGAAGGCAUCUGUCAGGUUUUGGUUGGCUUCAUAAAACACCUCAGCAACCUGCUCCUUCUGCUUGUAAUCCAGUUCACGGCCAACCUGAAACGCAUAAUUUGCACAAUCCAGAGAGGUGCAGUGUGGACUUCUUCUGCCUCCAUUCCCAAAAAAGACUCCCCUACGGUGUCCUGUCAGGCAAAUUAUGAACCCUGACAACAGGCCAAAUAGGCGGUAAAGGUUUUGUGGCAGGUGAUUUUGCUCCAGAGUGACUGGAAGAUGAAACAAAGGCUAUGAAUGUACAAGGACUCCUAAAGGAGGAAAUGUUUUCAUAAUCAAUAUGUCCUUACCUAAAGCAUUCUGUAUUGCUCGUCUAGCCUUCUCCAGCAUUCUACAUUACAAGUGACAUACCUUGAAAUAUAAAAAAGUGAGGAGACAUAAAAAGCAAUUUGGCCUUAACAGCUUGUUUGUGUACAACAAGCCUGCUUGUUAUUUUCCUCCAAAGCCUGUCUAGGCUGAAAAUCACCCCCUUCAAUUUCUUUAGAGGCUCUCACAGUGUCCAGUCUUGCUUCAAGGAGAAAUUUCAGGAAAGACCUCACAUCGCUUAUGUAUAUUCUUUGUGUUGUUACAGCAAAAUUCCUCAAAGAGUCCGUCCAGCUGUAAGGAAAGUGAGAAAGGCACAUUAAUUCUUAAUUAUUCCAAAAUGUUGAUCUGUGAAAUCUAUGCUUACUUUAUAAGCUUUCUGGGGUCUGAUAAAGCAAAAUCCAUGGUUGGCACCCCUCCAUCACUCAUGUAAGCCAACCAGGAUCACACACGUGUGACUCUGGCGUGCGUUCUCGUUCUGGCGAUACAUAACGCCUUCAAUAUGAUUAAGCCAGGUCUGAAGGACUUUUUCUGCACCGAAAGAAAAUUCGUGUGAUUAUAAACUUAGAGGUAGCUUGACAUCACAAGGUCAAUUAAAUUCAAUUCAAUUCAAUUUUAUUUGUAUAGCGCUUUUAACAAUGGACAUUGUCACAAAGCAGCUUUACAGAAAUAAAUGGAUUCACAAAAAUAUAUUGUAAAUAUUUGAAUUAAUCACUGUGAAUUUAUCCCUAAUGAGCAAGCCAGUGGCGACGGUGGCAAGGAAAAACUCCCCGAAAUGUUAUGAGGAAGAAACCUUGAGAGGAACCGGGCUCAAAAGGGAACCCAUCCUCAUCUGGGUGCAACGGAUAGUGCGAUUAUAAAUAAAUCCCUUCUAUUGUGUACUAUAUGGACAAAUAGUGCAAUUGUGCAACCAAUAAAUUCAUCACAGUUUUUGCAAGAAGUCCGGCUGGUUAAAAUCUAUCCACUGUCCACUGAUGGAGUCCUGAGUACGAAGCCGCUCGUGGCAACUGCAGCCCCAAAGCCACUACAGCAAUCGCAGUCCCAAGCCAUUACAGUACAGCUCCCCAUAUGAGAUCCCCAAGCCAUCUCCACAGCCCCCAGGUGGCACCAUCCCCAGCAAUCCAAACAGUUCUUCAGGCCAUCCAUAUUGGGCCACCCCCAGCAGCAGCGAGCGAACUCAACCGAUGAGAACUCCAACCAGAAGUAGGGCAUCAGGAUGGGUCAGGCAGCGAGGAGGAGCAGAAGGGAUCAGGAUCACUGGCAUCACUGGCAUCUCAGAAGUAGCAUGUGUAGCUCAACAGAGAGUGAGGGAGAGAGAGAGAUGGAGAGAAAGGAAGAGAUUGUUAGGUGAGCUUUUGUCCUCUAAUGGUUAAGCACGAUGUACUGUGAAAAAGAGAGAGAGACAGACACAGAGAGGGAGUCCAUGACAGAAACCCGGAAGUUCUGUACAGUAUUCCUUCUCUCAUAUUUUCUCCGGGGUUUUAUUUUAUAAUGUUUUUAUCUCUUCUUUCAGUUGUCUCUCAAUUGCUUUCAGUGCCUUGCAGCCCUUGCAGUUUGGUUGUGUUGUUGGAGCAGUGUCCUCUGUCUGGUGUCUCCUUCCUCUGGUCCUUGGUGGGGAGCAAUUUGGUCUGCAAUGACGUCCUUCUGUGCCAUAGUCGAUUGCUGAGGGGAGCUUGUUUCAUUAUCUGACUCGGCCAACAUCUCCACAUCAAAGUUACUACCCAAGGGAGGGGAUGGAUUCGUGGCCCGUAAUGUUUUCAGUUCCAAAAGAUUUGUCUGUUUUUUAGCUUCCAUAAGAAGCUCCUUCUGCUGCACUUCCUGAAACAAAGAAUAAAACAACCAUAAGGAAAGCUGACCUUUCACAAUUGGAAACAAGCUCCCCUCAGAUUUAGUACCAGAAUGAUAUUAAAUCAGUCACUGAUAUUCAGACACACAACCAACAUUAAUACAAGGUAUAAAAAAAGUGCACAUUGUUCAAAACAAAGAACUCAUCAUUCUAGGGCAUUAGUGCACUUAAGUUAUAAAUGAAAAUACUUACUGUCAUAUCUGAAUGGCAUAGUUUCAUGUGUUUAUCUAAACACACAAAAUUAGACCUUUUGCAAUCAUUGAGGCCAUUAUACCUGAAAAUCACAGAUAAAAAGACAUUCAUUUUUUAUUUGCAGUUCUGUUGAUCUAUACCAUUUGAAAAUGUUGAGGAUUCAGGUCUGAUUUUAUAAGGCGGCAACUUACGUGCCAGAUGUGUACUGCAGCAAGAUCCUGAGCUCCAUUUUGUUGAGUACUUUAUGGAACUUUAUAAGAUGUUGGUGGACAUUUCGGAAUGAGACGCCAGAGAGGGCACGGUGCACUUUUUUUUUGGCUUUCUUUGCAAACUGUAGGUGGAGGCCUGAUUCAUAUUCUGUGAAAACAGAGUGAACUAAUUAUUUUCCCCAAAAACAUGUACGAAAUGCUAAACACAGAAACCUUUAUUUAUAACAUCAAAAUGUUGGAAAACUUAACAAACCUCAAACCCAGGCAUCCUUACGAAUAACUUCUUCGUAACGGAAAGCCAGCUUCCUCAGCUGACUUCUUAUAUUCUCUGUUGUCAGAUGGAGACGUCUGGCCUCCUCCACUAGCUCUGUUUUUUUUUUUUUCUUUUUCAGAACACGUAUUAACUGAAACAAAAAGAAACGUGUAGAAGCCAAUAACUAAAGUUUAGGACUGCAAGCAUACAGUAAUAUUUCUGUUAUGACCACAAGGACACACUGUCAUAAGGAACUCAACUUACUCGUCUGUAUGUUAUGAAUUUUUCUUUCAAAUCUCUUUGAAAGUGGUGUCUCAACAGGGAAUCAAACUCUCUUGAAAAAAAGAGUCUCCUGUAUUGGCCCUAUGCAGAAUAUUCUUAUUAGCAUGUACAUGUUCAAGAAUUGAUCAGUUCCACUGUAGUUUCACUUACAGGCGUGGAGCAUAUCAUGGGAGUUUCUCAAACUCUGAGCCUGAUGAGUCUGUAUCAACCUUAAUCAUACAAAAUAUUUUCUUAGUAUGUGUGAUUUUCUAAAAACAAAUUAGAAUUGCCUUUCCACAAUAAAAACAGUAUUCCCUAUAUUAAUCAUUGGUGGAAUUACUGUCUUCAUAUAAAGAAUGAUAUUUUUCUGGAAACUGUCCAGUUUUUUCAGAACAAUUAAUGUAAUAGACAAAAAAAUGCCUGUGCAUUUGCAUUAUAUAUAAUGUUACUCACAAACAAUGGUUCCUCUGGCUCUUUUUUAAAUACAACAGUGUGUGUUGCACAGUCUACAGACACCUAAACAAAUCAAAAACAAUUAUUCCUUUAAUUAGUGUGUAUGUUACAGUUAUUAUAUAUUAGAUAGUAUUUUAACUCACAAGCAAUAGUUCCUCUGGCUCUUCUUUAAAGGCAACAGUUCGUGUUUCACUGUCUGAAGUUACCUAAACAAAUUAAAGAGAACGAUUCAUUUAAUUAGGGUGUGUGUGCAUGAGAGAGAGACUAAAGACACCUAAACAUAAAUCUAGAUUGGAUUAGGGAUUAGGGAUUGAUAUAUAUUUCGUGGAAUGAUUAGUGGUAAAUAUCAGAUUUUUGGAAACUAAAAGCAAUAAACUGGAGCCUACCUUCAGCCUGCAGGGAAAAUGGAGCUAAUUAGGAGAGUGGAGCAAAGCAGAGCAGAGCGGGAGUUUGCACCAAUUAACGCGCUCCUAAAAUUAGCAUUUAUCAUUGGCCAGCCAAUAAGAGCAAGAAGCUAUAACUGGAAGCAAAGUUCAAAAACUUAAUACUUACACCUAAUCCCCUUACCUACUCAUUCCAGUUCAAUUCAAUUUUAUUUGUAUAGCGAUUUAACAACGGUCAUUUUCACAAAACUGCUUUACAGAAAUAUAUAAAUUAGUACACAGUUAUAUAAGGAAAUUAUUUAUAAUUGAAGAAUAAGAUGAAACCCUAGGGAUAACUUUGUACAUUUAAAAUAUUAAUCUCUAAAAUUUGGGUAUUUUGGAGUCAAACCAGAAGCUCACCACUGAAAGUUUUCAGGCAAGUUCUUUGAGGCGAGGGACUCGAUUCUGUGGUCAGAUUUUAUGCAGGACGCCAGGAAGCACCCUCAACACGAGUUUGACCCUCCGGAGGCUGGCCCCCAACCAGCACCAACAGACAGCAUCAGCAGGAGACCCAGGCUUUUUGCUGCAAGCAAAUUGAUUUUACGUUAGAUGUUGUGUCUCUAGGCUUUUCCAUUGCUGAGAAAUAAGCUGUGGAAAAAAUGUGCUCCUUUCUCAGCCCUGGACUUGAAGCAGUAGCUAGUGCAGAGCCACACAACACAUUGAAACACCUGCCAUGUGUUUCUGGGACCAGUUAGAUAACUGUGGCACCUGGAAGCCCCCAACCUCGCAUACCUGAAGUAGCCCACAAGCUGCUGUGGCAUGCCGAGUUUUGUGGAGCUACAUUGCACCCUUGGGAAUUUAUGACCCUUUCAUUACGAUAUUUUAGGCUCAAAUACCGUGAGGGGAUGAAGUGACAGUUUAGGGGUCCUUCACAGAACUGUGGCUCCUGGAGGCACCAAACCCAGCCUACAUAAAAUAGACAAUGAGUUGACAGGCUCAUUUUAUGAUCUUUUAAUUAAGUUAAGUUUUUAAUUAAUUAAUUUUAAUUAAGUUAUUUUAGGUCCAAAUACCUUUGAAAGGAUCGAGUGACAUUUUGGGGGCCCUUCACAGAACCAUGGCUCCAGAAGGCCCCAGACUCGCCACACGUCAACUAGAUCUCAAGUACACGGAGAACACUGGUGAGACUGCGCAGUGCAUAAUUUGCACAAUAAAAUGCAUUUCCUUUAGUUCACGUUGGGAAUUCCAAAAAUGAAUAGAAAUCCCUAAAUCCCUAACAACAAAUGUUUUCGGACAGGUCACAGGGUUCUCAGAGGCCAGGAGCUCGAUUCUGGGAUCAGAUUUUAUGUAGCAUUUCAGGAAACACCUCGAAAGCUGGUUAGAACCCUGACAGAGGCCGGCCCCCGACGGGCGCCGACAGACGGCGUCAGAAGUAGCCCCCGGCUUCCUGCCUCAAGCAACCUGGUGUCUCUAGGCCUUUUUUGAGAAACAAGCUGUGUAAAAAUUGUGUUCUCUUCUCAGCCCUGGUCUUACAGCAUAAAGCAGUAGCUAGUGUAGAGCCACACAACACAUUGAAACACCUGCCAAGUGUUUCUGGGACCAGUUAGCUAACUGUGGCACUUGAAGGGAUAAAUUAAUUUUAAUAAAUAAAAAUAAUUCUGUAUUAAUAAAAUAAUUUCUGUAAAGCUGCUUUGUGACAAUGUCCAUUGUUAAAAGUGCUAUACAAAUAAAAUUGAAUUGAAUUGAAGGCCCCAAACUAGGCAUACCUGAAAUAGACCAUAAGGUGACAUAGCAUGCCGAGUUUGGUGGACAAACGUUGCACCGUUGGCAUUAUACAAUCCUUUCAUUAAGUUAUUUUAGACCCAAAUACCUUGAAGGGAUUGAGUGACAUUUUGGAGGCCUUCACAGAACCGUGGCUUCUGGAGACCCCACCCCUGUGACCCAUGAUUUAGGCCAAGAGAUGAUGUGGGCUGCUGAGUUUGGUGGAGCUACGUCACACCAUUGGCAUUUUAUGAUCCUUUAAUCAAGUUAUCUUAGGCUCAAAUAUCUUUGAAAGGAUCAAGUGACAUCUAGGGGGCCCUUCACAGAACCGUGGCUCCAGAAGGCCCCAAACCUGGCAAACGUGAACUAGGCCUUGAGUACACAGAGUGCACUGGUGAAACAGGGUGCAAAUUCAUAAUUUGUAAAAUAAAAUUAAUUUCCUACGUUAACGUCACGGAUUCCAAAAAAUAAAUAAAAAUCCCUAAAUCCCAAACAACAAAAGUUUUCGAAGGGGUCACAGUAUUCUCCAAGGCCAGCAGCUCGAUUCUGGGGUCGGAUUUUAUGUAGGCUGUAGGGAAGCACCCCGAACGAAAGUUCGAACCGUGCCAGAGGCCAGCCCCCUUUCGGCACAGACAGACGGCAUCGGAGGGACACGCGGCUUCCUGCCUCAAGUGACCUGGUGUCUCUAGACCUUUUUUUUCCCCAUUGCUGAGAAAGAAGCUGUAGAAAAAUUGUACUCUGUUCUCAGCCCUGGACUUACAGCAUGAGGCAGUAGCUAGUAUAGAAUCAGACAACGCACUGAAACACCUGCCAAGUAUUAGAUAAGUUAGAUAACUGUGGCACCUGAAGGCCCCAAACCUGGCAUACCCAAAGUAGGCAACAAGGUGACGUGGCAUGCCGAGUUUGGGGGAACUACAUAGCACCAUUGGCAUUUUAUGACCCUUUCGUUUAGUUAUUUUAGGCCCAAAUACCUUUGAAGUUAUCAAGUGACAAUUUGGGGGCCCUUCACAGAACUGUGAAAAUAUGAACUAGGCCUAGGGUUAAUGCAUUUCCCUUAAUUAAUGUUGGAAAUUCCACAAAAGUAAAUAUAAAUCCCUAAAUUCCUAACAACAAAAGUUUUCAUACUGGUCACAGCUUUCUCCAAGACCAGGCGUUCAAUUCUGUGGUCGGAUUUUACGUAGGAUGUCGGAAAACAACCCGAACCCUGGUUCGAACCCCCCCCAGAGGCCUUCCCCCGACAGGCGCCGACAGACAGCAUCAGAGGGAGACCCAGGUUUCCUGCCUCAAGCGACCUGGUGUCUUUAGGUCUGUCCGUUGCUGAGAAAUAAGCUGUGGAAUAAUUGUGCUCCAUUUUCAGCCCAGGACUUACUGCAUGUUAGGACAAGAGGUAAAACAGACCGCACAAUUCAGAAUUUGCACAAUAAAUUGCAUUUUCUUUAGUUAAUGUUGGAAAUUCCAAAAAAUAAAUAGAAAUCUCUAAAAAACAAAAAGAUGAAUUUGUGCUACUUAAAGUGUAAAUGGUUACAGAGCUUUGCAUUCUGCAUUUUGCUCUGAUGAGUUGAUUCCAAAUGUAUGGUCUGUUGUUUUCAAAGGGAUAUUUAUGCCUUUCAUAAUAUCUUCAUUCCAAGUUUUUGAUCUCAAAAACUUGAGUUCUUGGUUCUAAAUUUUGGAACUCAAAUUCCAAAAAAAGGAUAUUUGCCCUUAAAUA